AAGUCGUAACAAGGUUUCCGUAGGUGAACCUGCGGAAGGAUCAUUAUCACGUAUCCACGUAUAAACCAUAUUGAAUCGUUUCCCUUUGGGACAGAGCGAAAAGCAAUUAUGAAGGACUGUGGCCUUCGCUUUUCAACGCUUUGUCUCAUUGCGGUAUCCUUUAACCACAGUUAAUAUUAACGCCUUUAUUUUAUUGAACUGAUCUGGAGUCUUUUAACAAAGGCUCUAAUUUAUUCGAAUUAAAAACAAUUCUUAACAACGGAUAUCUUGGUUCCCGUUUCGAUGAAAAACGCAGC
rnacentral:misc_RNA from 1 species